UUUUUUCAUUAAUUGUUUAUAUGUCAUUGGGGAGAAUAAACCCACCAACUCCAAAUUAUUGAAAUCAAUAUCAGUUAACAUAUGAAAUGUUGCAUGUUUUUUUAAAUGAGGGAAUCCGAAGACUCCACAAAUUUGAUUUAAUGUCCGUGGGACGCAAAAGUUGGUAUUCAUAAGUCAUUGUUACAUGACCUAUCAAAGCCUUCUCUUGUUUUUUUAAUUAGUAAAAGCUUUGUUAAAAUUGAUUUGACUCGAAUCAUAACAAUGCAAUCACUAAAGAAAAAGAGGUGUGGUAAUGAUCCUUCCGCAGGUUCACCUACGGAAA
rnacentral:misc_RNA from 1 species